UGUAUGGAUGCCUGCAGACCGCUAAGUAUUUCAUCUAUAUCUCAUUUUGUGGACUGGCCAACGAUUUUAGUUGAGCCAAAGGCUUUCAGCAGUUAAUAGCACGAAAUUGUGUCUUCCCCCAGCGGACAAAAAAAUUAAAGCAAACCCAAUCAACAUGAGUGAAGCACGUAACCUGUUCACCACCUUCGGCAUCCUGGCCAUCCUUCUUUUCUUCCUUUACCUCAUCUAUGCCGUCUUGUAAAAUGUUGGUGGCAAGAAGGAGGUCCUUAGAGCAGGAUACUAGCAGCCAGCAGCCUGAGCAACAAAAUCAAAAUGAAUGAGGCCAAGAGUUUGUUCACCACCUUCCUCAUCCUGGCCUUCCUGCUGUUCCUGCUCUACGCCUUCUACGAAGCCGCCUUCUAGGCCCAUCCCAUGUCACCAGCCCACCCAUAACCCCCAUCAAGGAUAGCUUACAUGUUGAAUUUCAAUUCCAAGCCGCCGGCCAUGUCAUCAUCUUGUGGCCCGGUGGAGCUUUUAGGACCCUACGCGUUUAAGAUGUUUAGCAUUUAAUGGAUUUCUACUAGUAACCUAAGUCAGAUGACGUCAAAGCCACCAGCUGCCGAAAUCGGAGGCUCGCCGAUCAUGAUGAGCAUUUGCUGAUCGAUGGUCAACCCCUGCUAAGUGUGCCUCGCCACAUUUCUUCCAUCUUUGAGGCGCCGCAAGAUCGAUCCAUUCGAAAAAAUCUGCUGCCGACCUUGGCGUCAUCUGCUCUAAUCAUAAAUUUUAUUUUGUGAUCUUUUUAUUUCUGUUUGGCAAUGGAAUCUACUUAGUUUGCAAUUCAAAGACCAUGAUGUACAGUAUAAGCAAAUUGAGAACAACAGCAGCAAUCAAUGUGAACCAUCAACAAUUGGUUAUUUCAUUGUUAAACAACAAAUUUAUUUCGCAUUCGUACUUUGUAAGACAUACAUAAUGUAUAACUGCAUUUUACUCGACUUUUCUUAAAUUACUUGUGAAUAACAACCGCAAAAAAAAGCAACAACAACUGCAGGAAUAAAAACAAAACACAAAACUAAA